GGAAGGCGCGGCGCCAGUAGCCGCCUGGCGUCAGGAGCGGGUGAAGCCGGUGGCAGAGAGGCGGAGGCGGUGAGGUUCCUCGAUUCACGAUGGCGGCGGCUUGAUUCACGGCUGUGGUGGCUCGACCCGCGGCGGCGGCGGCGCGGCGGCUCGAGGCUGCUCGAUUACUGGCGGCGGCGGCGGCAGGUCGAUUCACGGCGGCGGCAACUCUAUUCGCGACAGUAGGUGCUCGACUCGCGGACACCGCACAUGUUCUGCAAGACGCUGACGGGCUCCGACACCAGCACGCACGGCGGCUUCUCCGUGCGGUGCCGUGCCGUCGAGGACUGCUUCCCAGCGCUGAACUACAGCCUGCAGAGGCUGUGUCAGGAGCUCGUUGCCGAAGAUUUGCACAGCACGGAGUGGAAGUUCCGACAUAUCUAUCGACGUUAAGUCAAAUGAACUCGUUAUACCCUAUUGGAAGUUCAUGAGAAGCUUGAACCAACCAUUUUCAGUUGGAAUGGGAUGCAGAAUGAGAUAUGAAAGUGAAGAUGCUUAUAAAAGAAGGUGCACUGGGAUAAUAAUUGGAAGCAGAGAGGCAGACCCCAUGUGGCAUGGUUCAAAAUGGGAAUGUUUUGUGGUAUGUUAUCUUCUAUCUUGAUUUGUACAUAAGACGAAUGCCAAUAUUAGCUUUCAGUUUUAGCAUUGUUUCUAUGAAUUUUUAAUAACAUGAUUGCACGUAGAGUUAAUGUCUGCGUCAAGUUGUACUAGGUUGACAUCCUUCCUUACAUGGUGGCUAUUCUAAAUCCCGAACUAAUUUAAAGAAACAAAUACAUUACUAUAUUCACUCCUUGUGCUAAGCUUGAAAUAAUCGAUGUAAUUUCCGUUGUUCAUCUUUUUCUUUGGUUUUUAUGCUAUUAAUCAAGUUGUGUCCAUCUAGUUCAUCUGAAACUGAUCUGCAAUUAAUUAUUUUUGCUGAACAUCGUGUCUUUUCUUAGUUGAAAUUCGUGAUUCUACUUGGUUGAGUGCUAAUCACAAUACCUGAUUGAAUAAAAACUGUAGAAGCACGUAAAAGUCAAUGUCAACAUGAAGCUAUAGAGUAGGUGUAAUUCCAUCAGAAUCAAUGUCAACAUGUUGGUCCUCUCCUAGGUUGUCAGGCCGAGCGUCGUCUUCCUUAGAUCUAGAACCAGAACUUUCCUUGAUCUUGUUGAGGUGAGAGUUGACCAAAAUGACCGCUAGCUUAAGUCUGAAAUGGUCUAUGUCUUGCUGUGAAGGUUAGAUAAGAAUAAAUUUUCAGGAGAAAUCAUUUGGCAUGCUAGAAAAUUAUGGGUAAUAAACUAAACAUAGAGGAAUACCUGUGCAAAUUUGGGGCGUAGCGCAAAUCCUGUCCAGCAUUCCAUAAAUUUGAGCGUGAAUAGCCCGCAUGAGCCUCUAUAUCAUUGCGAAACAGUUAGCGGGACUUUUAGUAAGUAACGGGAUGUUAUAAUUUAUGAAGCGAGGUUGUCUAAUGUACGUGUCUUUCUGGAUUGCCGACUUGACUUCUUUUGACCAUGGCCAAGUUGUGACCCUAUAGUCUUUCCACUUAGUUUCUUGCGGGCCCAUAUCAUGUGCUGCCAUGUCUAAAUAAUGCUCCAGACCGCGGAUCUGGUCAGUUGCAAAUACGAAGUAUGAGGGGAGUGGCGUAAUUCCAUCAAGGGCAAAGGAUGGGUGAAGAAGUUGUAGUAACUCACCGUUUGUUUCAGUUCCAGUCGAUCAUUGUUGCUAGGCCCCAAUGAGUCCAAUAUCUGAAUGGUACGUAGCCUGGCGUUGAUAAUGCACAAGUACCAAUGGGUAUGGGGGAUAUUGAUUGGGAAAAAGAGCU